CAGUUUUGUAAUGUCAAUAUUGUCAUAUUUGUAAUGUGUUUUUUUUUUACAUUUGUUAUGGUUAAGAUUUACUGAUAAUAAAAUAAACACUUUCCAUUUUCUUCUAACAUAAUAAUGUCAUUUAACGUUGAUUGGGAUGUUGAUAAAUAUAAAGAAGACCAUGAGAAUGACGAGCAAUGGAAUUUACGAAAGGCAUUCAUGGAACGGUGGAAACACGAUUAUCCCGAAGAAAGACUUAUCUGUCUUUCCCGGGUGUUAACUAAUAUGGAGUUCCUGGGAUGUCGAUAUCCUCCAGAAGUAAUGCACGAGGUCGCAGGUCUUUCACAAGAGAUAGCAAAAUCCUAUAGAAUGUCAAAGAAAACUAAAUUACAAAGGGCAUUUGUAUCAGCAUCCACAAUGGCUGAAGAUAGAGCAAAAGGUAUCAAACGUGUAAGAGGUGUCAUAGAAGAUAGAAGUCCUGCAAAAUCAGCUAAAAUUGAAUUUGUACCAGCUAGCAAAGAAAGAGAUGAAUGUACACCAAAAGAAAAAGAAGGAAUGAUAAAUUCAGAAAAUAAAAGUAGAAUUGACUUUGUACCAAUGGGUAAAGCAAGUUUUACAUCACCAGUCCCUGAUGAUUCUGGAAAAGAUUACCAAAGUGACAAAGAAAUACCUGAAAAAGAAAGUAUAAUUUCAAAGACAAUUGACAGAAAUUAUUAUUUGGGAGAUAUGAUGGCAUUGAAAUGUUUGGAUGUAAGGUAUUUUAAAGAGCCCAUGUUUCAUACAGAAUAUGGGAGAAUGGUUAUGUUAAUACGGCCCUGGGCAGACAAAUUAUGGAACAUACAAGCUAGUUGCCAGGCUUGCAAUAUUCCUGUAAAUAUUUUAUAUGAAGACUAUUGGUGUACUCUGAAGAUAAACGGGAAAGUGGUGGCACGUGCCAAGGAUUACGUUAAAAGUGAAGCCAAACUGGCUGUGGGGAAGACAGCAUGGAAAGUAUUACGUGAGCAAAUGGUGUGUUUACUGGUCAAAGAACAAUGGAUAGCCCACGGCGACUCCCGUAUCAGUGUGAGCGAGGUGUCCGCACGCACCGCGGCAGAGGACGCGUUUGGCACACCUGUCGAGAACAAUGUCGCUAUGAAAAUGAUGCAAAUGAUGGGCUGGAAGGGCGGUGGCCUGGGUGCCGAUGCGCAGGGUAUAGCAGAACCAAUCAGACCAAAUCUGCAAAUGGUCUGGGCAGCAACUCUACGGACGAGCGCCAGCUGCGUCGCGCUGCGCACGCGCUGAUGCGGCGCUACAUCGCGUCAGACACGCUGGACCUGGACCUGGUGUUCAGCAGCGACUUCAGCAAGGAGGAGCGCGCCGUGCUGCACGUGUGCGCCAAGCGCGCCGGCCUCACCUCGCGCAGCUACGGCGAGAAGGAUAAGGACAGAUUUCUAGUGGUUAGAAAAAAGCUGGAUCCAUUUUCACUAGUACGCGCUGUCGUGGAAAAGGGUGGCGUCACACCAAAAUAUCAAGUUUUUAUACCAGAGGCACUCAACAGUAAUAAUUAAAUAUGAAUGACUGAAUAAGUUAAGGAACUAUUUUGUUUUGGGUAUAUAAUACUCAAGAAUAAAUACAAUUUACAGUCAUA
rnacentral:misc_RNA from 1 species